ACUAAACUCUGAAUUCCUAUAAGUUUUUGUCAGUGCAUCUUUAAUACUGUUAAUUUCAUCAUCGUGCCAUAGAAUAUCUCACGACCCAUCUGUGUGGAGUUUGCAUGUUCUCCCCAUGCCUGGGUGGGUUUUCUCCGGGCACUCCAGUUUCCACAUCCCAUAAAUAUGCAUUAAUUGGAGACUCUAAAUUGCCCUUAGGUAUGCUUGUGAGUGUGAGUGGUUGUAUGUUGAUAUGUGACUUGCAAUUGACCUCUCCGUGGAUGUUGCGCAAUCCGCGUCACUGACCAAUCAGAGGCCAGAGAUCUGCAUAAUCUCGGACUCAAAUCUCGGACAACGCUGGCUGGAUGGUCCAGUAUAGCUUCUGUUGGCGUUUUAUCGCGUAUUUGGGUUCUUUAACAAUAGAUAUGGUUAAGAGGUGUAGUCACGGACUUUAUAAUAGUGACGACAGGUAUCCUGAAAGGCUAGCUGGUGGAGUUCAAUUCGUACCCUUUCCAAAACCGAAGACCCAGUACGAAAAAUAUCUUUGAUGGAUCAAACUUUGUGUAAGACCGCAUCAUCAACUGAAUCCAUCUAAAACCAACCGGAACAGAAGACCAAGUACGAAAAAUGUCUUUGAUGGAUAAAACUUUGAGGAAGACCGCAUGAUCAACUGAAUCCAUCAACCGGAACAGAUAUGUUUGCACGAAGACUGCACCGUAAAUGUUUCAGCACCAGAGACCUCAGUAUGAAGAAGUCAGUCCGGCCCUCGGUGAGUAAAGUGAGUGCUGAUCGAGGGAAGGCAGAAGUCACAGCUAGCAUUGGCACUGGGAAGAUAGCAGCUAAGACCAACAGUGCUGCACCACUGUCAAAGGUGAAAAGCAACGAUGAUCUUUUAGCAGCAAUGGCUGGAGGGAAUCCUGUGUCAAGUAAUGCUGUCAGCAAAACUAAGAGGAGUGCCUCAAUUGGGACGACUGCUAACACUGGUGACAAGCAAAAAGCAGCUGCGGGUUCUUUAACCAAGCGUAUGACAUCAUCAACUACAAAAGAGCCAAAUUCUUCACGAGAUCGUCUUCGGACAUCAAGGGCGUCAGCUAAUAAGAAGCAGCUGGUCUCAGCGACAGCAGCAGGAGAUGCGUCCUCAGGGAAGCGCUCUCGCAGCCAGAUCCUGACGGAGUCCGAGAGCCGUAUGAGCAAGUCGAAAUCAGAUGGCCAGAUUAGCGAUAAGGUGGCAUUGGAGACUAAAGUUAAUGACCUGCUAGGUCUUGCUAAGAGCAAAGAUGUGGAGAUUCUACACCUUCGCAGUGAACUGAGAGACAUGAGGGUCCAGCUAGGCAUGGAAGGGAAGGACUCACCACAGGAAGAAGCAGAGGAGGAGGAGAAGCCGCAUGUCUCAGCCAUCACAGCAGCUGACGUCGAGUCUACUCUGCUUCUUUUACAAGAGCAGAACCAGGCCAUCAGAGAGGAGCUCAAUCUGCUGAAGAGUGAGAAUCGAAUGCUCAAGGAUCGUCUCAAUGCACUGGGUUUCUCUCUGGAGCAGAGGCUGGAUGGCUCUGACAAGCUCUUCAAUUACACAUCCCUGAGCCCGGAGUUGGCAGCAGGUGGUGGGCAGAGCGAAGGUGGAGCCACCCUGACCUCCUCAGUGGAGGGGUCCGCCCCCGGUUCCUUAGAAGAUCUCCUCACUGGUCACCAGCAUGGCGGUUCAGCAGACAAUCUUGACAGCGAAUCGAGUGAGGUCUAUCAGGCCGUGACCUCCAGCGAUGAUGCGCUGGAUGCCCCCUCUGGAGCAUCCUCAUCCUCUGAAUGCGAGUCUGCUCCAAGUAGAGAGCGUUCACGGAGGGGCAGCAGUGGGAAUGCCAGCGAGGUGUCAGUUGCCUGUCUUACGGAGCGCAUCCAGCAGAUGGAAGAGAAUCAGCACAGCACAGCUGAGGAGCUGCAGGCCACAUUGCAGGAGCUGGCCGAUCUGCAGCAAAUCACCCAAGAGUUGAAUGGGGAGAAUGAGCGGCUCGGCGAGGAGAAGGUCAUCCUCAUGGACUCGUUGUGCCAGCAGAGCGACAAGCUGGAGCUCUACGGCCGACAGAUUGAGUACCUGCGUUCCUUGCUAGAUGAGCAUCAUAUCACAUACGUACUCGAGGAGGACAUCAAGAGUGGCCGUUACAUGGAGCUGGAGCAGCGCUACGCCGACCUGGCAGAUAAUGCUCGCUUUGAGAGAGAGCAGUUGCUAGGGGUGCAACAGCACUUGUCCAACACUUUAAAGAUGGCAGAGCAGGAUAAUGCUGAAGCCCAAGAGGUAAUCGGAGCCCUCAAAGAGAGGAACCACCAAAUGGAGCGAGUCAUGGACUCGGAAAGACAAGAUCGGGCAGCCAUGGCUGCUGCGCUUGACGAAUAUAAAGCGGCAGUGAGCAGCGACCAAGCAGAGCUGAGCCGUUGCCGAGCCCAGUUGGAUCAGGAGAGGGAGAGGGUUGCUGAGCUUUACUCUCUUCAUACAGCGGGGGACAAGAAUGACAUCUGCCAGCUUUUGGAAGGUGCGCGACUAGGGAAGGAGGAGGCGGAGGCCAAGGCUGCAAAGUCCCAGGAUGAAUUGGAACAAGCUCACACUGACCUUGCCCUACUGCAGGACACUCUCACUAAGCUUGACAGGGAAUACAGAGACUUCCAACAGCAGGUGCAGCAGCAGAUGGCUGAGCAAGCGCAUGUGCUGGAGAAACAACGUGUGGAGCUGCAGGAGAAGGGCACGGAGAUCGUCGACAUGAAGGAAACCAUAUUUGAGCUGGAAGACGAAGUUGAGCAGCACCGAGCUCUAAAGCUGCAUGACAACCUUAUCAUCACCGACCUAGAGAACGCCGUAAAGAAGCUUCAGGAUCAGAAACAUGACAUGGAGAGAGAGAUAAAGAUCCUUCAUCGCAGACUUAGGGAGGAGUCAUUGGAGUGGCGUCAGUUCCAAGCAGACCUGCAGACAGCUGUCGUCAUUGCAAAUGAUAUCAAAUCUGAAGCACAGGAGGAGAUUGGAGACCUGCGGCGCCGACUGCAGGAGGCUUUGGAGAAGAAUGACAAGCUGAGCAAGGAGCUGGAUGAGGUCAAGAGCCGCAAGCAAGAGGAGGAGAGAGGGAGAGUAUAUAACUACAUGAAUGCAGUGGAGAGGGACCUGGCAGCGCUCAGACAGGGCAUGGGUCUCAGUCGGCGAUCUUCCACCUCCUCUGAGCCGUCACCAACUGUCAAAACACUCAUCAAAAGCUUUGAUAGUGCCUCACAAGCUCCACCACCUUCCAAUUCUGCCACUGUGACUGCAACAGCACCAGCCACCCCCCUACCACGCACCCCUCUUAGUCCCAGUCCAAUGAAGACACCUCCGGCUGCUGCUGUCUCACCUAUACAAAGGCACUCAGUAUCCACGUCUCUGUCAGCUGCCAAGCCGCUCUCCUCCUUCAGUGACAAGAGGACCACCUAUUCGGACAUCUCCAUGUCAUCGGAGCACCUUCUCAGAGGAGCACCGGCUAAUCGACCACCUUCUGUCCUCCAGAGGGUUUCCAACAUGGAUUCCACCAAGACCAUUUCAGUAGUGUCCCGCAGGAGUAGUGAAGAGAUAAAGAGGGACAUGGCAGCCCAAGAUGGGACCACCUCAUCCUCACUGAUGGCCAUGAGUGCCUCGUCCUCCUCCUCCUCUCCAACGGCCUCCGUCACUCCCACGACACGCAGCCGUCUAAGAGAGGAACGAAAGGACCCACUGUCUGCACUGGCCAGAGAGUAUGGAGGCUCCAAGAGAAACGCCCUGCUCAAGUGGUGCCAGAAGAAAACUGAGGGUUAUCAAAACAUUGACAUCACCAAUUUCAGCAGUAGUUGGAAUGACGGUCUGGCAUUCUGUGCUCUGCUCCACACCUACUUGCCAGCCCACAUCCCUUAUCAAGAGCUGACCAGCCAAGACAAGAGGAGGAACUUCACCUUGGCAUUCCAGGCUGCAGAAAGUGUUGGGAUCAAAUGCACUUUAGUAAGGUUUGAUUCGAUGAAUAUGUUCCUUCUAUAAAGAAGCAUGAGCCUCUGUCACAUCAACUUCAUCAACUCAAGCCCACCAGGAUGCUUCAUUUACGACAGCACUCUAAUUUGCUCGAAAGCAGCUCUGUCUUUGAGUAGACCAACGCAAAAUGGGGAACUGUGGUCGCGGCUAAGAUUUGUACAUUUUACAGUCAUUGUAUGUUGAGGGGAAAAAGUUCCUUCAGUAUAUGACUGAAAAAAAAAUCCUUCAGGGGACUUUUGCUUUGAAGUCACUCACUCUGCAUACAUGGGAUUCUCAGUUUGUACGUAUACUUUUUAAAUCACUUGUCCUUGAUUCGCCAUUGUUGUUGUGCUUUAUCUGGGAAUUACUUAAGGCUUGUAAUUGGCUAAAACGUGCUGACUGUUGAAGAGCAGAGCUCCAUCUGGUGAUUUGGAAUGCUGCAUUGCCAGAGUGCAAUGUUUUUGGGAAAAAAAAAAAAGUUAGGUGAAAUUGCUUUUCAAUGUUGUUGUUGAUGAAUGUUGUCUAAAACAAUUUUUUCCAACCUUUAUUGAGCCAGGGCUCAUAUUUUACCGUACGUUAGAAAAAUCUCAUGGCACACCAGCAAACGACUGUCACAAGAAUACAGAAAUAAUGAUCAUUUUGUUUUGAGUUGCUGUUAAAGGAAUACUGGUGCAGUCUAGGCGGAGGCAAUUGUGGUGGAUACACAGGUUAAAACGACUUUUUGCCCUUCUGUGGAAGAACUUUGCACGGUUCUACCUCGCUGACAUAGAUAAUUAAGCAAAGGACAUAAAUGAGAUGGUGCACACUGAGAGGCCAGACUGGCAGAGCGUCAUGACUUACGUCACAGCUAUCUACAAAUACUUUGAGACUUGACUAAAGUCUCCUGCUACUGUCUGAGCUGGGCCGCACCUCAAACCCAACAUCACAACUGUACCUCACUGGAUAGCACCGCCAUCACCCCAGUAUAGCAUCCCCAACAUCGUCCUCGGGAGUUUGCGACACUAAGAGGAAACCGCGAUCUGAAAAGAAACAAGUAUUGCCUGCAUGCAGUAUCAUGAGAACACCUUGAGAAGUGCACCAAGUAUGAACUGACUACUGAUGUCCAAGAAAAGCGCCUCAGUGCCUUCCGCCUGGAUUUUCGUUUUGCAAGAAAUCGUCCUCUAAACCUUGCCCAGGUGUUUGAUCAUUAGCGAGCAACCAAAUGAGUUGAAAGGCGCUAAUCUUCUCUAUUUUGAUGGCGAAUGCGUUUGAGAAACAUCUGUUAAGGAUCUGUCACAUAUCAGUUCAGUUCCAAUUCCCUUGAUCCUUUGGCUCGAGCUCAGGCAGUUAUAUUUUGCAGUAUUCCCUAAGUUUAUGUAUGAGAGGAUCAAGUGCCUGUGUGAUAAACGAUGCGAUGUCUGGAAAAUGUCAUCGGAUUUAAGAGGAAUUCAUUUUGAAUCUCAGCACUGACCUUGGACAUCAGAAUUAUGGUGAUAAAGUGGACGUUUGCCAAGUUGCAGGUUGGUUAAUAACGGCAAAAACCAAUGAUUAUUUUCGCCAAAUUUCCAGUUAGUUCCCUUCGUUUCUCAGGAAUUUCCGUAGAAAAUGUCCAGCUCAUCCUUGGUUAAAAUUCCAGUGGAAAGUUUCCAGAACUUUUCUGUAAAUGUGUCUUCUCUUAAGAUGAGCAGCCCUUUUGGCAGGGAAGAAAAUUCCCACAUUAGAUGAUUGCAUAAAAUGUAAAAAUGAACCAUAGCCAGAGGUUUGCCAACUUAGCCACAACACGAAAAGGCAGAUAUUUGAAAGCUUUUGUCAACGUCACAACCAGAAAGUUUUACUGUUUUCCUUUACUCACUGCUCUCACAUUUUGGAAGUAAUCAUCCAAGAAUAGCUCAGUUACAAACACUAUCCCUACGAUCAACAUGUUGGAAUUUAUUAUUAUUAUUAUUUUUGGUUAUGUGUUGAACUUCCUACUGUGACUUAACAUUAUUAUCGAGAUGCUGAGUACGUUGGUGGCUAUUGUACUAGCAACAUGACUGCUUGGCUGCUGUCGCACUUGUGCCUCCACAUUCAUGUUCACUUUAUUUAUUUGGAUGUUUACAUUCACUGUAUGCUUUUUUUUUUUUAUUGUAUUUUGUUGUUGAGUACACAGAUUUGUUACGUACAAGAGGCUGCACCUACGGAAAGCCAUUUGUGCAUUUAUUUGAUAUUUUUGGUACCCAUCUCCAUCCAUGUACCAGUAAUGAGGAAAUUCUACAAGUUAACCCCUAGCGCUUCACUUAUAGUGUGCGAAUGUCACUAUUGCAUGGUUUUGCUUCAAUGUUAUGAUGUUGUUGUCCUACUAGUGAGGACUAAGAGUGACAGAGCCCUGAAGCUGCCUUUCAAGACAAUAAAAAAACUGUUGGACUUUCUUGAUAAGAAGGCUACUAGUGUGACACGUGGCUACUAGGAGGGCCAAGUAGUGAUACUAGUGCAUCACAGUAGUUUUACGAAUCAGGUUUCAUUUCAUCCUGAUGGGCCAAAAGUGGCACUAGUAGUGGAGGAAAAAAGUGACAGGCAUUCUAUUAGUGUGCUGAAAUUUCUUACUGAUGAGGACAAUGAGAGCACUAGUAUUUGAACCUCAAGCAUAAGGAUAUCAAAUCCAUGCUCAAACCGCUUUCCAUGUGCACCUAGUCAGCUGCUUCUGCUUUUUUUUUUUAACUUUCUGCUAAUGUCUUGCCUUAACAUAUUUAGCUUUUGCGAGUGUUGAACUUGACGUUUUGUUUGCCCACAGUGUGGGAAAUUGACAAUUGUGCCUCUUGAGAAACACUAAUAAGGUCUUUUCGCGAGGUAGGUUGAAUUUGUGUUUGUGUGGUGUGUGUGUGUGUUACUCUGUGCUGUUUUGCCACAUGAAGCUGCCAGCUGGUAUCUUAAGUAAUGUAGUUGUUUUCAUCUUGGAUGUGAUUGCAAAACUCGUGUCACCCCCAUCUGUACAGCUGCAUGAGGCAUGCAUGUGAUUUAGCACAAAAAAACCUCAGUGUAUGUAUAAAUGUCUAGUAUUUAAGUACACUUGACAGCAUCGAGGGUUUAUCAGCCAACACUUUUAUUGUGUUCUCCUCGAUUUCAUUGCUGAACUAUGUGUUAUUAUUCCCAUUUGGAUGAUCCGUGGUUUUACAGAACCAAUUAAAUCCUCCCCCGUUGCUCAACACAGAAUGUUUUGUGAUCACGCGUGCCCUUACUUGGAACAACUGAUUAAAUGAGCAAGGACGCUUCCUUCCACCUCCACGUGUUGCAGCCACAAGAGAGAAAAAGAGACAAUAUAUUGUCAAUAUAUUUACAAUAUAUUGCCUUGAAUGUGUAAUGGCCUUUCCAAGCAGGAAAGCAAAUGUGAACAGUCCUUUUGUUUUUUGACUGCAUCUGCUUCAUCUUCUGCUUUGGUUUACUUGAAAAUGCUCUGAGAAUUCCACUGAACUGAUUUUUUUUUUUUUUUUUUUUUUGAGGAUACUCCAUGUUGCCUAUAAAAUCCAAUAUUUCCAUUUCCAGUACAUACAUUUCUUUAGUGUGGACUCUUAUUUUGAAGAUACACUGAUCAUAUUUCUUUUAGUGCCUCUUUUUAGUGCACAUACUGUAGGUGAGUGUUUGUGUGAGAGAGAGAUUAAAAAAAUUCAGUACACUGCAAAAGGAGAUUUACGUUUUGUGCUUGUACUCAAACAGCAGUUACUGUUUUUUUUUUUUUUUUUUAAUCAGUGAUGAAGUAUGGUUUGUAAUGAUUUUUCUGUUAUAUAGAUAUACAGAUUUCAAACAUUUGGCAGAAAGUGAGCAGGCGGGACACAUCACACUUAAUCUCGUUACUUCUCUCAGCAGUGACAUCAUUAAAUCCCGUAUCGGUUCCUUUACCAGCCAUGUGCACAGUGUAUGCUGAUGCCAUCACUUUGCUUCCACAAUGUUUUGAAAAUGUAUGUUUUUAAUCGUGAACGGAUCCUAUCUCAUCCUGUACCACAUUUUUCAAUUCCCAUCAUAUUGUGCUAAAUUGCCUAUUGCAUCAGCUGUAAGAAUCAGUACAGAACAUUGGAGGCGGAAAUUAUUACAUUGAUCUCCUUCGUCACUAUUAUGUUUAAGCACAUGAACAUUGAAAUAAAGAGCGUGAAAUAGUCAUAAUUCCAUAAUUAUACAUACGCUAAUAUUUUGAAACAUAUUGUACUUCAAUAACAUCUUGACUGUUUUAUAUAAAAUUCCCAAGGGUUGUGUAAGAAGGACAAUUAAAAACGAAUUCAUUUAUCAAGUACUUUAGAAUCUACUGUGUGAAAAUGUAUUUUCCAUCAACUCAAUUUUUUUCUUUUUUUGCAGUUUACCCACUUUGUUGAAGAUCAUCAAACAAAUGUAAAUGUCAGACAAAUAUUACCAAUGUGAAAAUAAAAUGCAUUUUAAAUGGUUUUAUUAUGUUAAUGAGCAAACAAAAAAAUAUUCAAAGCAACCUGCCCCUGUGGGGGGGGGAUUAUUGCCCCCACCCCCACCUUGUUCAAUCAUGAAUCAACUUUGUGGUCCUUUGAGUUCCUUUUUACUGAUCUUAGUGGUCAGGAUUUUCUUUCCACAUUUCUUUACUUUCAAUCAAAUUUUGAAGUCUUUGUUAAUUUUGAAUGUGCUCCAUGAUUCUUGUUUGCCUUUGUUUUUGUUUUUUCAUUCCUGCACUAAUGCAUCUCCACCUUGCCUACAAUCAAACGAGGCCAUAACUUUUUCACAGGGGGAGGGUUGGUGGCUUUGAGUAGUUACAGAACACUUCCUUAAAUAAUAAAAUCCUCAUUUAAA